rnacentral:rRNA from 1 species
GACGAACGCUGGCGGCGUGCUUAACACAUGCAAGUCGAACGGAAAGGCCCUGCUUUUGUGGGGUGCUCGAGUGGCGAACGGGUGAGUAACACGUGAGUAACCUGCCCUUGACUUUGGGAUAACUUCAGGAAACUGGGGCUAAUACCGGAUAGGAGCUCCUGCUGCAUGGUGGGGGUUGGAAAGUUUCGACGGUUGGGGAUGGACUCGCGGCUUAUCAGCUUGUUGGUGGGGUAGUGGCUUACCAAGGCUUUGACGGGUAGCCGGCCUGAGAGGGUGACCGGCCACAUUGGGACUGAGAUACGGCCCAGACUCCUACGGGAGGCAGCAGUGGGGAAUAUUCCACAAUGGGCGGAAGCCUGAUGCAGCAACGCCGCGUGCGGGAUGACGGCCUUCGGGUUGUAAACCGCUUUCGCCUGUGACGAAGCGUGAGUGACGGUAAUGGGUAAAGAAGCACCGGCUAACUACGUG